GUUCAAUGAUGAGCGUAUUCAUUUCAGUUCUGCUUCUGAAGCAUAAUGUCGAUAUUAUAUACCUUACCAAAAAUUGUCUGAUUG
rfam:Rachicladosporium antarcticum strain CCFEE 5527 scaffold_10, whole genome shotgun sequence.